ensembl:lncRNA
GGGAGGUUAAGUGAACCGCCCGGUGCAUCCUGCUGGAGCGCUGAAGAACGAGAGUAGGAAUCCAGGCUGGUGUGGAAGCCGACCCGUGUUUCCUCCCCCUUCCGAAUGCUGGGGAAGCAGCAAGGAGGUAUCAAGCAUUCUGCCUAAAACAUGUUUUCUCACCCCAGUGCUCUUGCCACUUCCAACGUCUUUAAAAAUAACAGCAAAAUGGCUCUGAAGUAGAUGGCAUUCAUGUGAGGGUUAUUUCUAGCUAUUCUGAGUCAUGGAAGAGGGAGGAAUUCAGAAAUCCUGAAUUUACUGUAUUUGCUGUAGAUUUGUUCAUCAGCUGUGGAUGGAUCCUCCUCAACACUCUAGGGACCGUGGCCCUUCAUAGAAUGAUGUCCUUAACCAUCUUCUAGAGUGUGGUCAAGAUUUAUCAGUUGCCAUCGAUCCCUGGAUCAGGAAGAUUCCUUGGAGAAGAGAAUGACUACCCACUCCUGUAUUCUUGCUUGGAGAAUUCCA